rnacentral:rRNA from 1 species
UACGGAGGGUGCGAGCGUUAAUCGGAAUUACUGGGCGUAAAGGGUGCGUAGGUGGUUUUGUAAGUUAUCUGUGAAAGCCCCGGGCUCAACCUGGGAAGGUCAGAUAAGACUGUAAGACUUGAGUAUGGGAGAGGGUAGUGGAAUUUCCGGUGUAGCGGUGAAAUGCGUAGAGAUCGGAAGGAACACCAGUGGCGAAGGCGGCUACCUGGCCUGAUACUGACACUGAAGUACGAAAGCGUGGGGAGCAAACAGG